GUAGGAAUUACUAGGUUUUGGUUUAGGGUUUGGUUAGAGUUUGAUUUAGGGUUUAGGAUUUGGAUUAGGAUUUGAUUUAAGAUUUAGGAUUUAGUUAGGAUUUGAUUUAAGAUUAAGAAUUUGAUCAGGAUUUGGUUUAGUAUUUAAGAUUUGUAUUAAGAUUUGGUUAGGAUUUGGUCUAGGAUUUGGUUGGGGUUUGGUUUAAGAUUUGUUUAGGAUUUGAUUUAGGGUUUGGUUUAGGAUUUGUUUAGGAUUUGGAUUAGGAUUUGAUUAGGAUUUGAUUUAGGGUUUAAGAUUUGGUUUAGGAUUUGGUUUAGAAUUUGGUUAGGGUUGGAUUUAGGAUUUAGGAUUUUAUUAGGAUUUAAGAUUUAAUUAUGUUUGGCCUAAAGUUUGAAUGAAGUUCAAUAGGAUUUUAAUUAGAAUUAAAUUAAGAUUGAAUUGAGAUGUAUUUGAGUGAUAUUUGUGAUCCUUCUAAUAUUUCUUUAAGAAUUUUUAUUGUUUGUUUGAAAUUUCUUGAGGUUUUUUUUAAUUUGAUUAAGCUUGCUUAGUAUUAUUAUGAUCUAAUUAGAGCAUUGUUAGUAUUCUAUUAGAAUUAGGAUUUUGUUAUUAUAAUUUCCAUUCUUCUUUCCACAACUAGGUGCCCGGAGCAUUCUCAAGCAAGACUUCACAUAUUACGACACCAAAUUGAAAUAGCUGAACGAGCUUUCGUGGAAUGUUCAUCUACAAAAAGAUCUUUUAAUAGAUAAGACAUCUCCUAGAACUACAUAGAGGAUGGAACUGAUUUAGAUUGAGCUAAGACCUUGGUAGUUGGGACCUCAUUGGUUUGUAUAGAUGGACUAGGUUUCAUUA
rnacentral:lncRNA from 1 species